GCGCACGCUGGCGGCAGGCCUAACCCCUGCCAGUCGCACGAACCUUUCGGGGUUAGUGGCGGACGGGUGAGUAACACGUGGGAACGUGCCUUUAGGUUCGGAAUAACUCAGGGCAACUUGUGCUAAUACCGAAUGUGCCCUUCGGGGGAAAGAUUUAUCGCCUUUAGAGCGGCCCGCGUCUGAUUAGCUAGUUGGUUGAGGUAAUGGCUCACCAAGGCGACGAUCAGUAGCUGGUCUGAGAGGAUGAUCAGCCACAUUGGGACUGAGACACGGCCCAAACUCCUACGGGAAGCAGCAGUGGGGAAUCUUGCGAAAUGGGCGAAAGCCUGACGCAGCCAUGCCGCGUGAAUGAUGAAGGUCUUAGGAUUGUAAAAUUCUUUCACCGGGGACGAUAAUGACGGUACCCGGAGAAGAAGCCCCGGCUAACUUCGUG
rnacentral:rRNA from 1 species